CAGUCGCCGCGGGAAUACGAAGGGUGCAAGCGUUACUCGGAAUUACUGGGCGUAAAGCGUGCGUAGGUGGUGGUUUAAGUCCGUUGUGAAAGCCCUGGGCUCAACCUGGGAAUUGCAGUGGAUACUGGGUAACUAGAGUGUGGUAGAGGAUAGUGGAAUUUCCGGUGUAGCAGUGAAAUGCGUAGAGAUCGGAAGGAACAUCUGUGGCGAAGGCGACUAUCUGGGCCAACACUGACACUGAGGCACGAAAGCGUGGGGAGCAAACAGGAUUAGAUACCCCGGUAGUCCCUGUCUCUUAUAC
rnacentral:rRNA from 1 species